rnacentral:rRNA from 1 species
UACGUAGGGUGCGAGCGUUAAUCGGAAUUACUGGGCGUAAAGCGUGCGCAGGCGGUUCGUUGUGUCGGUGGUGAAAGCCCCGGGCUUAACCUGGGAAUGGCCAUGGAAACUGGCGAACUGGAGUGUGGCAGAGGGGGGUGGAAUUCCGCGUGUAGCAGUGAAAUGCGUAGAUAUGUGGAGGAACACCGAUGGCGAAGGCAGCCCCCUGGGAUAACACUGACGCUCAUGCACGAAAGCGUGGGGAGCAAACAGG